rnacentral:rRNA from 1 species
UACGUAGGGUGCAAGCGUUGUCCGGAAUUAUUGGGCGUAAAGAGCUCGUAGGCGGUUCGUCGCGUCGGCUGUGAAAACCCGGAGCUCAACUCCGGGCCUGCAGUCGAUACGGGCGGACUUGAGUGUUGCAGGGGAGACUGGAAUUCCUGGUGUAGCGGUGAAAUGCGUAGAUAUCUGGAGGAACACCGGUGGCGAAGGCGGCAUCCUGGACCGGUAUUGACGCUGAGGCGCGAAAGCCAGGGGAGCAAACGGG